AGUGAGGAAAACGGCUUAAACCACACUAAAACCAUCUUUUUAUUAAUGUAACUAUUUGUAAAUCAGUUUUCAUAACCCUGAGGUCACGGGUUCAAUUCCCGUCCUCGCUA
rnacentral:tRNA from 1 species